CCUACGGGAGGCAGCAGUGAGGAAUAUUGGUCAAUGGGCGCGAGCCUGAACCAGCAAAGUAGCGUGAAGGAUGACUGCCCUACGGGUUGUAAACUUCUUUUAUAAGGGAAUAAAGUGAGGCACGUGUGCAUUUUUGUAUGUACUUUAUGAAUAAGGAUCGGCUAACGCCGUGCCAGCAGCCGCGGUAAUACGGAGGAUCCGAGCGUUAUCCGGAUUGAUUGGGGUUAAAGGGAGCGUAGAUGGGUUGUUAAGUCAGUUGUGAAAGUUUGCGGCUCAACCGUGAAAUUGCAAUUGAUACUGGCAGCCUUGAGUACAGUUGAGGUAAGCGGAAUUCGUGGUGUAGCGGUGAAAUGCUUAGAUAUCACGAAGAACUCCGAUUGCGAAGGCAGCUUACUAAACUGCCACUGACAUUGAGGCUCGAAAGUGUGGGUAUCAAACAGGAUUAGAUACCCGGGUAGUC
rnacentral:rRNA from 1 species